rnacentral:rRNA from 1 species
AUGUGCAUAUUGUGUAUUGGGCCCAAGGCCAAACGUGCGGACGGCUGUGUUCGCGUGGCGGCUGUUGGUCGUGUGAGGGAGGAGCUGAGUAGUGUUUCAUCCCUGUUGGCAAGCUCGCAUGAGCUCCACGAGUCUGACUCAUCGCCCACCCGCGUGCACCGGCCAAAGACCUACUCCAGCGCUGGUGAAUGCAGUAGUGUCUUCGCGAGAGAAGUUUGGCAUGUCAUUUGUGGAGCUCUGGGUAGGCCAUAGUGGGCGCCGAACCCGGACUCGAGGCUGCGGGACUGGGGUGCCGUCAUGGCUACUCCGGGACGGGAGGCGAAGAACACACGCGCUUUCCUGCUGCUCGUGCUAUGGGAAAUUUGGAAACACCGAAACGCAAUUGUCUUCAAUGGAGCCUCCGUCUCUUCAAAGACGCUAGCGAGCCGAAUCGACACCGAAGGACGCGCAUGGAAGCGAGCCGGCAUCUUCAAAGGCAACGUAGAACCUACUAUUGAGGGUUUAGUUAGGUGGGCUGAGGGGAGAAGCUAG